CAGGGGAGGGUCAGAGAGAGAGGGAGACACAGAAUCAGAAGCAGGCUCCAGGAUCUGAGCCAUCAGCCCAGAGCCCGACGCGGGUCUCGAACUCACGGACUGUGAGAUCGUGACCUGGGUUGAAGUCCGACGCUUAACCGACUGAGCCACCCAGGCAUCCCUUAAGCUUUGAUUCUAAUAAGGGCGAAUUUGGCUUUAUAAUCUGAAUGCUCUGGAAGGAGUCUUGAGAGUUGCUUAAGACAGGUGUAAAUCCAGCAGUCACUGCUCUCCUUCCUUUUGGGUUCACCUUCUUCCCUCCUCCAUCACUUUGAGUCACAGGGACACACUUUGCCUCAUCUCUUGUGACAGUUUGCUUUUACUUUAUUUUCUUUUUUAAAAAUGUUUAUUUUUGAGACAAAGUGCACAAGAGAGUGAGCACAAGUGGGCAAAGGGCAGCGAGAAAGUGGGAGACGCAGAGUCUGCAGCAGGUUCCUGGCUCUGAGCUGUCAGCACAGAGCCUGACUUAGGGCUCGAACUCACAAACCACGAGAUCAUGACCUGAGCUGAAGUUGGAUGCUCCACCAACUGAGCCACCCAGGUAAUCUGUACACCCAACGUGGGGCUUGAGCUCACAACCUGGAGAUGAAGAGUAGCAUGCUCCACCAACUGAGCCAGCCAGGCAACCCUGUCUAUGAGAUUUCUUAAGAACAAUAUAAUUUUGUAAUUUGACAAGGACCUGCACCUCUACCUUAUGCAUGCCUUAGUGUAUGUCUUCCUGAUAAGGGACAAGGAGUUAAUGAUUUCUUUGGAGUCUUCCAGCAGAGUAGAUAACAUCUAAGGAGUGACCAGGCAAGAAUGAGCAGAAGGCUGAUUGGUAACACACAUCAUCCAGGGAACCUAUGUUUUGAUACAAGGGAACCUAUAUUUUGAUACAAGAAUAUUUUUCUCUAAGAUGAAUCAUGAUUGACUUCUUCUUUGAUCUCCUACCCUUCUUUCUUACGAAGGCAACGUUUGAUGUCAAGAAGAACAUAUGAACUUAGUAUGAGGACAGGCUUUACACCCAGUGUGGAGUGCAGUGUGGGGCUUGAAGUCACAGCCCUGAGAUCAACACCUGAGCUGAGAUUAAGAGUUGAAUGCUAAAUGACUGAGCCAUCCAGGUACCCUGGAGCAUGAAUCUGAUGUGGACCUUCCUCCACCUUCUCUUCCUGGAGCAAACUCUUCACCCCAGGCCUGCUCUCCUCUACAAAACAUACAGACAACACCAGGUCCUGGGUCCCUGGAGGACACCACCGAUACUGUGAGGUGAUGGUGAGGUGAUGGUGGCUGAUGCACAGGGGUAAAUGCAAGACGAUCAACACCUUCAUUCAUGAAGAUGUGGCCACGUUGGCAUAUUUCUGCAGAAUUCCACCUCUGCCCUCUACCUACAGCUGCUGUGUGCACAACAGUCACAAAGUGCGCACCAUGCCCAAAGACCCCUGAGAUCAAAGAGUUGCAUGCUUUAUCCUUGGAGCCACCCAGGUGCCCCUACACAAUCCAUUUCUGAAGGCAGUUUUUCUACCCACAAGAGGGAGAAUCUGUAGGUGACUUUCUUCUCUACCCUGUGACUCCACCAAAAUCAUGUCAAGGCUUUAAAUCAAAGGAAGGCACCUGACUCUAGGGCAGCCAUCCACGGACUGACAGGCUGGGUGCCCAUGAAAGAAACUGGUCUGGAGAUUUUACUGUCCUGGAAUAAGGCUGACAAAACUGGAUACUCUUAUUUUCAUUUCCCCCAUAAUUCCAGGAGCUGUGAUUGUAUUGUCUUCGUUUGUGACCUUUAGCACGUAGCCUAUUGCUUGCUAUAAGAGAGCUUUCAAUAAAUCUUUAAUGGGCCAUUGUAAUAGGUCCUGCUGGUGCUAAGGAUUUUUUGCAGAUUCUGUUUUCAGAAUGGGAAAGUUCCCUUCCCUUCUGCUCUCCGUUUCCACCUGUAAAUGGAUUGUGAAUUUUGUUGAAUAAUUUUUCUUCAUCUGAUGACACAGUCAUAUACUAUUUCCGUCCUAAUCAGUUAAUGGAGUGGAAUUGAAUAAAAUUUCUGGACAUAAGCAACUCCAUUUUGAAGCUCUAUUUUCCUUGUCAACUAAUGAACUCUUGGACUGGGCCAGAAGCCACAAUGGUUUUACAAGCGGUUCCUCAUAAAAUUUCAAAUGAGCAACUGGCAUUAGGAUCAUGUGAGGACAGGAAAGUUAAUUAAUACAUACCAGUGACCGUUUCAUUUGAUAGCACCAAUAAAGUAAUCAGUAAGAUAGUAAUCAGAAGCGGUUCAAUCAAUUAGCACCAAAUUACCUGUUUUUUUUCUUCCUUCUCUUAUCUAAAGCAUGUAAUUACCCCUUCCUUCUUUCUCAUAAAAAAACCCCAGCUUUCCCCACCUGAGGGGGCACUUUUCUGGUUACCCUUAAAUCUAGUCCCACAUUGUAACUCUGAGACCCCAAAUAAAAGCCUUUGCUCUUC